rnacentral:rRNA from 1 species
UACGGGGGGGGCAAGCGUUGUUCGGAAUUACUGGGCGUAAAGGGCGUGUAGGCGGUCAGGUAAGUGAGACGUGAAAUGCCCCGGCUUACCCGGGGACCUGCGUCUCAUACUGCUUGGCUUGAGUACGGGAGAGGGUGUGGGAAUUCCUGGUGUAGCGGUGAAAUGCGUAGAUAUCAGGAGGAACACCGGUGGCGAAGGCGCACACCUGGCCCGAUACUGACGCUGAGGCGCGAAAGCUAGGGGAGCAAACGGG